rnacentral:rRNA from 1 species
GAUGAACGCUGGCGGCGUGCCUAAUACAUGCAAGUCGAGCGAACAGACGAGGAGUUUGCUCCUCUGACGUUAGCGGCGGACGGGUGAGUAACACGUGGAUAACCUACCUAUAAGACUGGGAUAACUUCGGGAAACCGGAGCUAAUACCGGAUAAUAUAUUGAACCGCAUGGUUCAAUAGUGAAAGACGGUUUUGCUGUCACUUAUAGAUGGAUCCGCGCCGCAUUAGCUAGUUGGUAAGGUAACGGCUUACCAAGGCAACGAUGGGUAGCCGACCUGAGAGGGUGAUCGGCCACACUGGAACUGAGACACGGUCCAGACUCCUACGGGAGGCAGCAGUAGGGAAUCUUCCGCAAUGGGCGAAAGCCUGACGGAGCAACGCCGCGUGAGUGAUGGAGGUCUUCGGAUCGUAAAACUCUGUUAUUAGGGAAGAACAAAUGUGUAAGUAACUAUGCACGUCUUGACGGUACCUAAUCAGAAAGCCACGGCUAACUACGUG